AUUGAACGCUGGCGGCAUGCCUUACACAUGCAAGUCGAACGGUAACAGGUCUUCGGAUGCUGACGAGUGGCGAACGGGUGAGUAAUACAUCGGAACGUGCCUAGUAGUGGGGGAUAACUACUCGAAAGAGUGGCUAAUACCGCAUGAGAUCUACGGAUGAAAGCAGGGGAUCGCAAGACCUUGUGCUACUAGAGCGGCCGAUGGCAGAUUAGGUAGUUGGUGGGAUAACAGCUUACCAAGCCGACGAUCUGUAGCUGGUCUGAGAGGACGAUCCGCCACACUGGGAAUGAGACACGGCCCAGCCUCCUACGGGAGGCAGCAGUGGGGAAUUUUGGACAAUGGGCGAAAGCCUGAUCCAGCAAUGCCGCGUGCAGGAUGAAGGCCUUCGGGUUGUAAACUGCUUUUGUACGGAACGAAAAGCCCCGGGUUAAUACCCUGGGGUCAUGACGGUACCGUAAGAAUAAGCACCGGCUAACUACGUGCCAGCAGCCGCCGUAA
rnacentral:rRNA from 1 species